GAACUGGGUGGCUCUCAAUUGCCCUCCAUCUCAAAAACUUUAAAAUUCUACUAAAUUUUACAUACAAGGACAGGAGAAAGGGGAAGAGAGGGACUUUGAGGAGUCAUGGGGGAGUCAUGGGGGCUCUCCUUGGAGCUGUUAUUGCACAGCAACCACAGUGUACCUACGUAGCUUCCACCCAUCCUGCCAUCAGCCAUUUUCAGCCUCAAGAUCAAUUCUUCUUCAGGCGAAUGAGCACACUUCUUUCAGCGGGAUAACCACAGGGUAGUGGCAAAUAUUGUUUCCAGUUUCCAGCUUAGUUUUAGAGCUCA